rnacentral:rRNA from 1 species
CCCUUAGAUGUUCUGGGCCGCACGCGCGCUACACUGAUUCAUGCUACAAGUUUUGUCCUUGGCUGAUAGGCCUGGGUAAUCUUUGAACGUGAAUCGUGAUGGGGAUAGAUGAUUGCAAUUAUUCAUCUUCAACGAGGAAUUCCUAGUAAACGCAAGUCAUCAGCUUGCAUUGAUUACGUCCCUGCCCUUUGUACACACCGCCCGUCGCACCUACCGAUUGAAUGGUCCGGUGAAAUCUUCGGAUCUGAGAGAUGUCUGAUUAAUUUCGGACGCCUUUUGGAAAAGUUGCUUAAACCUUACCAUUUAGAGGAAGGUGAAGUCGUAACA